rnacentral:rRNA from 1 species
AGCGAACGCUGGCGGCAGGCCUAACACAUGCAAGUCGAACGAACUCUUCGGAGUGAGUGGCGGACGGGUGAGUAACACGUUGGAACGUGCCUUUAGGGUCGGAAUAACGCAGGGAAACUCGUGCUAAUACCGAAUGUGCCCUUCGGGGGAAAGUUUUAUCGCCUUUAGAGCGGCCCGCGUCUGAUUAGCUAGUUGGUGAGGUAAAGGCUCACCAAGGCGACGAUCAGUAGCUGGUCUGAGAGGAUGAUCAGCCACAUUGGGACUGAGACACGGCCCAAACUCCUACGGGAGGCAGCAGUGGGGAAUCUUGCGCAAUGGGCGAAAGCCUGACGCAGCCAUGCCGCGUGAAUGAUGAAGGUCUUAGGAUUGUAAAAUUCUUUCACCGGGGACGAUAAUGACGGUACCCGGAGAAGAAGCCCCGGCUAACUUCGUG